AUGGCCCAUGUAGCAAAGAAAAAACUCGAGCGUGGCUGCCUCGCUGACACGCUGCCGGCGACAAACGGUGCCGACAACCUCGCCGAGCUCAUCCCGUCGCUGCCCGUCGAGAAGCGGUUACUGCUGCCGCCCGCCGGCUCGCAGAGGCGACAGUACCGUGGGUAUUGGUUCCCGGAGUGGCACCUGUCGGCCCUGGCGGCUGUCCGUGACCACUUCGAGCCCAAGCCAACGGACAUCUUCCUGGUGAGCUGCCCCAAGUCCGGUACCACCUGGCUUAAAUCACUGGCCUUCGCCACCGUGCAUCGUGAUGUCCACCCGCCGUCCAGCCGCGAGCACCCUCUCUUGCACAAAAACCCGCAUGGCUGCGUCGAAUUCAUCGACGCAAUCUAUCGGCAACCGGUCGACGUUGCACGGGGCAUCGUCGAGGCGUGCCCUUCCCCGCGCAUCUUCGGCACCCACUUCCCUUUGUCCUUGCUGCCGGAGCGUAUCAGCGGCGAUGGCAGCGGGUGCCGGAUUGUCUACAUCUGCCGGGACCCCAAGGACGUGGUCGUCUCAUGGUGGUGGUUCAUGCGCACCUAUGUCCCAAACCCCGAGCAGGUUCGGUUCGAGGAGGUCUUUGACUUGUUCUGCGAGGGCCGCACAGGCGCGGGCCCUUAUUGGCGCCACGCCCUCGAGCAUUGGGAGGAGAGCCGGAGAAGGCCCGGCAAGGUGUUGUUCCUCAGGUAUGAGGAGAUGCUGCGAGACCCGCAUGGCAACCUUAGGAGGCUGGCGGAGUUUUUGGGGUGCCCCUUCUCUGAGGCGGAGGAGAAAGCCGGUGUCAUGGACGCCAUCUUGGAGCUCUGCAGCCUGGACAAGCUAAAGAAGCUGGAGGUGAACCAGAGCGGCAACAAGAUUAAGAACGGACUCGUGAUGAACCAUUCCUUCUUCAGGAAAGGGGUGUCCGGUGACUGGAUCAACCACAUGACGCCGGAGAUGGCGGCAAGGCUCGAUGCAAUCGUCCAACAGGAGCUGCAAGGCACCGGAUUUGGCUUUGGCAUCCCCACGCCACAGUAA
rnacentral:rRNA from 1 species